UACGUAGGGUGCAAGCGUUAAUCGGAAUUACUGGGCGUAAAGCGUGCGCAGGCGGUUGUGCAAGUCCGAUGUGAAAUCCCCGGGCUUAACCUGGGAACUGCAUUGGUGACUGCACGGCUAGAGUGUGUCAGAGGGGGGUAGAAUUCCACGUGUAGCAGUGAAAUGCGUAGAGAUGUGGAGGAAUACCGAUGGCGAAGGCAGCCCCCUGGGAUAACACUGACGCUCAUGCACGAAAGCGUGGGGAGCAAACAGG
rnacentral:rRNA from 1 species